UAUAGUAUAAUCGUGUUCUCUUGUUCGUUUACCAGUAGAGUAAAAAAGUCAAAACGAAUCUGCGAGCGACUAAAAUCUCUAUACUUUAUUUGCAAUGGAAUUUAAUUAAUAACAUUUUUUCAAAAGGGAUAUGCAAUGUGUUUGAAUUGAUCUGCGAUCAUGAUACACAUUAUUGAUGUUUUUCUUCGUUUAUUAUUCAUGAUAAUCAAACAUAGGUGUCACUAGAGGUACCAGCUGGCAAACUGAUCGAGAAUUUUUCUCACCUUAUAGUCGCGCUGCUCUGUCUUCUUUCUGGUUCUAGGUAGUGAGAACAUCAAAAUAUAGUAUAAAGGGAACGUCAGCUUCUGUAAAUAGACUUUCAAUGUCAGCGAUGGUGUCUGAGCAGUAGCCGUAUAGUCAUCGAUUCGGCCGCCCGUACGACCCGCGCCCCGAAUUCAAUCCCAAUAUAAGUAUUUAAGUAAGAGCCAACAGCAAAAAGAUGUCUUUCCAGCCUAUUCUCAAUCCCGAACUGCCUUAUGUUGGCGAGGUGGAAGGAGGUGUUACACCUGGAAAAAUGUUGAAAAUUCAAGGCAAAGUUCCAGAGGACUCGAGACGCUUUGCCAUUAAUUAUCAGUUGGGUUCCAAUUUGAAUCCAAGAGAUGACAUUGCCAUUCAUGUUUCACCUCGUUUUACCGAAGGAUUCAUCACGAGAAAUCACAUUGAAUCUAUGAAUUGGGGUCCGGAGGAAAAUGAUGGUCCAAUGUGGAUUCAGCCUGGCACACCCUUUGAAAUCAUUGUAUUAUGCGAGUAUCACUGCUACAAAAUUGCUGUUAAUGGUAGACACUUUACGGAGUUUGCUCAUAGGCUGCCUUACAAUAAGAUCACACACCUGGUUAUCGAUGGAGAAGUAGAUAUUUCGUCCAUCUUUUACGAGACUAUUCCUAUUGGUCCUAGGCCUUCCGCACCAGUACCUGAUGUACCUCCUGUUGAUGUUGGACCUCCUCCACCAGGUGGUCUUUACCCAACUCUCAAUCCACAAGGUUUUCCACAAGAAAAGUAUGGACCUCCACCAACUAAUGAUGACUUUAGAAAUAAUCCACCACGGGCAUAUGGAUAUCAACCAGGAGCUCAAAAGGCUGAAGAAGAAGAUGCCUUUGGUGGCUGCUUGGACAAAGUUGGAUUGGCAGUAGGAGGACUUGUUGCGGCAGGAGGAGUGGCAGCAGCCAUGCACGCAUACAAUAAAAAUAAAAAGAAGCAACAAGAGGCAGGUGGCGAAGUCAACCAUGAAAAAAGCGAAGCUUCAGAAAAUGAAAGUGGUUUUGGUGGGCUAGGAGCAUUGGGAGCAGCUCUGGCAAGUAGCUUAGCAUCUAAUGCUUUCCAGGGAGAUAGAAACGCACAUGCACAACAAGGCUAUCCACCUCAAGAUUCAAGUAGUGGAAUGUUGGGAUCUAUUUUGGGAGCUUUAGGUGGUGCGGGCGGUCCUCAGCCAAGCUAUCAACAACAACCACAAUCGGAUCCGCUCGCGGGGCUAGGAGGGCUAGGCUCGAUUCUUGGCGGAGUACUCGGAGGCGGUGGUGCGGGUCACCAACAGCAGCCUCAGUAUCAACCAAGCGGCGGCUAUGGAGGCUAUCAACCUCAAGGUCCGCAAGGAAAUGGUGGCGGCAGCAACGAUUUACUUAGCGGUCUAGGCGGUGCGCUCUUUAAAUCAGCUCUAGACGGUCUGUCCAAACAUGAUAAUAAGUAAAAAGGGAGGAUUUGGCUCAGUCAAAGCCAAGUAUUGAAAAUAAACAGUCUACAUUUUGCUCCAAAAAUCAAAGUCGCACAAACCGCGGUAUGACGACGACGACAACAGUGGUCACUACGCCACAUCACCUCCAGCACCGCCUCCAUCGAGCUACGGCAGCAGACACGGCUACGAAGACGCGCCGCCGUCGCACCCAGCCCCGCGGCCACCAAGUCCGCCGGCUCCGGGCGGCGGUAGGCUCACCGCUGCCGAAAUUUCCAAGGGCCUUGGCCUCUCCGACGGCGAAGACUAAACUUUGCUUUAUAGUUUUAUUUUACCUAUAAAUACUACUACAUUAUGUUGUAACGAAUCUCUCUCUCUCUCUCUCUCUCUCUAAUCGCACUUAGGUAUAAUUACACAAUUGGAAAGCAUUCGAACCGUAGACCUAUUUGAUCGCAGCGAAAGAGUUUCCUUAUUUUCCUUGAAAAUUUCCAGUAAGAUUUUUUUAUCGCACAAUAACAUUAGCAAAAAUAAGAUAAGAAUUCGCGCGCUCUGCAUUUGCCUUGCUUUACUAAAAGCCGCUAAUCGUUUGAUAAUUUUGAAAGCUAUGCAUUUAAAAAAAACCGAACUGAACGCUGCGUAUAUUUAUAGGCAACGAAUGUAGUCUUCUAUAAUUGUUCUAUAUGGGUAAUCAAAAAUCCGAGCGAAACUUCCGCUUUUUUCUCGCAAAAGACCUCAACGAAAUAAAAACUUAGAUCUGCUUUUUUAUUGUAAAACGAAGCUACUAUACAGCUUGUAAAAAGUACAAUCUUAGGCCUUACAUUCAUCUCGUUUAAAGGUUGCAGUUGUUGUUUAUACAGCAAAGAAAUUGUUAUAUAUAAAUUACAUUAUGUACAAAGUCUUAAUGACUCUAAAGAAGGCUUCCCUUCAUUAUGUUAUAUUCGAGUCUAAGUAGACACCAUCACACUUAAAUUAUUUUAUAAAGCGAUGUAUCUAUAUGUAUAUUUUUAUGAGUAUUUUACUGCAGAGCAUAUUGGCUUGGCUAAUUCUAUACAAAUGAUUUUAUAUAGAGCACAGAGAUAUUUGUAUACUAAUACCAGAGGUAAUGUAUUCAUAUACUUAUAUAGAAAACGUUGAAUCUGUCAAAAUAAAUCUAUUAUCCUUA